GAUUCCCAGAACUCUAUCAAAGCAAAUCAGGGAAGUGGAACAUGAUAUUCAGAGAUGUGCAGUCAUUUGCCCAAAGCUGAUGAGUGGUAAGAACAGUGUUGUUAGGUAACAUUUAGUUAAUACUCGUUAUGCGGCAGGCCCUGAGUUAAGUAAUGCUCCAAUUCAAUCUUCAAAACAACCUUAUGUUGUAAAUCUAUUAACAGGUAUUUUUCCAUACUAAUGGGGUAAUGUAUGUUACAAAAGGCUAAUAUGUCAUUCAGUUAGGAAGUGGUGGAACUGAGAUUAGAGCAGGCAGGGUCAGGAGUCCAGCCUGUGAUCUGAGUUUGCUUUUCAGCAUGUCACUGUGCUAAUGGGGGAGGCGGGGGACCUCUCUGCAUGAUAGCCAAGGAGGAGCAGUAUUGUGGCUGGGACAGAGGUCUUGGAAGUCAUAUGACCUUAAGAACUGGUCCUUUACCAGUUAUGUGUCUUUGGGCAAGUCACUUAAAAAAAAGUCCGUUUCUUCAAAUGAGUAUAAAGCAUAGAGUGAAUACUGAAUAAAUGUUAAUUAGCCAUUAUAAUUUCAGAGAGCUGUGAAAGCAGACAGGAGUGAAUUUACAGAGGAGAGUUUAGAUAAAUGUAAAGGCGAGGAAUGUCAUAAUAUAGUUUGAAUAAUUUUUAAAUUUGCAAUUAGCCCUGAAAAAGCUGAGAGAAAUUCCCAAUUGAUAAUGCAGACUUUCAAAUCAGAAAGCAGAAGCUGAGAGAUAAAAUGGAAGGUGGGGACAGCAGCAGUUUCUCUUUCGGGAUUAGAAUUUUUUCUGUUCUACAGUGACCACCUCAUUGGGCCUUGAAAUGGACCACUCAUUAACACUGAGUCUUCAAAACUAGAACAUCCAGUCACUUGGCAUACAGAUAGAUUUGGAUAUAAAUUCCUGAACCUGGAAAUGAUGUUUUGCUUCUGCACCAGUUACUUUACAUGCUCCCUUUGAAUUGUGUUUUUAGUGGUGGCCACGCAAAGUGACUCGCCUUUCUACUCCUGCUCCUAUUAAGGAUCCCAUUCUGGGUUUUUCCCCCUUACCAUUUCAGCAAAAUUGCUUAAGACCACUAAUGACAUCCACAUUAAUCCAGGGGUCAUUUCUCCUACAUUACCCAUUUGAUAGCUGAUUACUCCUUCCUCCUUGAAAUGCUCUCCACUAGACUUCCAGGACUACAACCAGUGGGGGACGUGCAGUUGUCAAUACUAUGGAUACAGACAUCUGUAACGAAAGUGCCUCUGCACACACACCAAGACACCUGAGAGAUGCAUCUAUUGUGCAUCUGAAACUGGGCGGACUGGAUCCUGGAGAAGGCCACACCAAGGGAGUUGCAGUGAAGGUGGCAGCCGUAGUGACAUCAGUUUCUCUGGUAGAGCAGGUGGAAAAGGAAAAAGGCACACCCAAAUAAAAGCUAUCUGCAGAACAAUCAUUGAUGAAAAAGACCAAAACCUACCAAAAACCAUCUGUAACCAAAGACACAAAGGAGGAGCCACAACAGGACCCGGGAGAAGCAGUGAUUUGACAGAAGCCUGGGUCAGACCUCCUGCUGAUCCUGGAGAGUCUUCUUGAGAGGCAAGAAGCACCUGCAGCCCACCCUGGAGACACAGGAUAAAACAUCUACAACCGAUAAAUGCUGCACAGAGUGUGAAGGAAAAGGAAUAUUACUACACUGCUGGUGGGAAUGUAAACUGAUAUAACCACUAUGGAGAACAGCAUAGAGGUUCCUUAAAAAGCCAAGAAUAGAUGUUGCUGGUUGAAGAUGGCAGAGAGGAAGAAGUACAUUCAUCUCCUCCUGUAAGAACACCAAAAUUCCAGCUAGCUGUUGAACAACCAUGGACAGGAGGACAGUGGAACCCACCAGAAAAAGGUACCCCAUGUCUGAAGACAAACAAGAAGCUGUAACAAGACCGCAGGAGGGGUGCAAUCAUGACAAAGUAAAAUCCUAUACCUGCUGGAUGGGCGACCCACAAACUGGAGAACAAUACCAAAAAAGUUCUCCCACUGUUGUGAAGGUUCUGAGACCCACAUCAGUCUUCCCAGGCUGGGGAUCCAACAAAGGAACUGGGAGUACCCAGUGAAUCUGAUUUUAUGGGCUGGUAGGGUUUGACUACAAGACUUACUCAGGACUGGGGGAAACAGACUCCACCCUUGGAGGGCACAAACAAAAUCUUGAGUGCACCAAGACCCAGAGGAAAGGAGCAAUGACCCCACAAGAGACUGAAUAAGACCUUUCUGCUGGUGUUGGGGAGUCUGACGUGGAGGCAUGUGUCAGCAACAGCUUGCAGCAGGGACACAGGCACUGGCAGCAGCAGUCCUGGAAGGAGACCCUUGGUGUAAGUCCUCUUGAAGGUCACCACUAACCCUACCAUAAAGCCCAUAGACCCCAGGGCUGGGUCGCCUCAGGCUAAACAACUAACAGAGAGGAAACACAACCACAUCCAUUAGUAGACAAUUUGAUUAAUGUUUACUGAGCACAGCCCUGCCCACCAGAGCAAGACCCACUUUUUCCCACUGCCAGUCCCUCUCAUCAGGAAGCUUACACAAGCUCUUAGCCUACUCCAUCAGAGGGCAGAAAGAAGCAGCAGGAAGAUCCACAGUUCCACAGCUGGCUAGAACAAAAAUCACAUUACAGAAAGUUAAUCAGAAGAAAACACAGAAAGUUAUGUCUCAGAUGUAGGGACAAGAUAAAACCCCAGAAAAACAACUAAAUGAAGUGGAGAUAGGCAACCUUCCAGAAAAAGAAUUCAUGAUAAUGACAGUGAAGAUGACCCAGGAUCUUGGGAAAAUAAUGAAGAAGAUGCAAGAAAUGUUUAAAGACCUAUAAGAACUAAAGAACAAACAAACAGAUGAAUAAUACACUUGAAGGAAUCAAUAGCAGAAUGACUGAGGCAGAAGAGACAAAUGACAUGGAGGACAGAAUGGUGAAAAUCACUGCCACAGAACAGAAUAUAGAAAAAAGAAUGAAAAAAAUGAGACAGCCUAACCCACUCCAGUAUUCUGGCCUGGAGAAUUCCAUGGACUGUAUAGUCCAUGGGGUCACAAAGACUCGGACACAACUGGGGACUUUCACUUUCAAGAGACCUCUGGGACAACAAGCAAUGCACUGACAUUUGCAUUAUAGGCAUCCCAGAAGAAGGAGAGAGAAAGGACCUGAGAAAAUAUUUGAAGAGAUAAUAACCUGAGAACUUCCCUAACAUGGGAAAGGAAAUAGUCCAUGAAGUCCAGAAGCAUGGCUCAGACAGGAUAAACCCAAGGAGGAAUACACUGAGACAUAUAGUAAUCAAACUGACAAAAAUUAAAGACAAAGAAAAUAGACUAAAAGCAACAAUGGAAAAACAACAAAUAACAUAUGAGGGAACUCCCAUAAGGUUAUCGGCUGAUUUCGCAACAGAAACUCUAGAAAGUGAAAAGUGAAAGUGGCUCAGUUGUGUCUGACUCUUUGUGACUCUGCAUAGUCCAUGGAAUUCUCCAGGCCAGAGUACUGGAGUAGGUAGCCUUUCCCUUCUCUGGGGGAUCUUC